rnacentral:misc_RNA from 1 species
CAGGGUCUCACGACUCUCAAACCAAACCGUGCACUAAAACUUUUAUACUGCUGAGGCGGCCGCUCGCUGGGGGAGCUCUGGCCUUUUACAAGGUGGCCGCCAAAGCAACCAAAACUACUUAAAUUCAAAAAUAAACUUUCUAUAAAGAAAUCA